rnacentral:rRNA from 1 species
AUUGAACGCUGGCGGCAGGCUUAACACAUGCAAGUCGAGCGGGGAUUGGGUGCUUGCACCUAAUCUUAGCGGCGGACGGGUGAGUAAUGCUUAGGAAUCUGCCAUUUAGUGGGGGACAACAUUCCGAAAGGGAUGCUAAUACCGCAUACGCCCUACGGGGGAAAGCAGGGGAUCUUCGGACCUUGCGCUAAAUGAUGAGCCUAAGUCGGAUUAGCUAGUUGGUGGGGUAAAGGCCUACCAAGGCGACGAUCUGUAGCGGGUCUGAGAGGAUGAUCCGCCACACUGGGACUGAGACACGGCCCAGACUCCUACGGGAGGCAGCAGUGGGGAAUAUUGGACAAUGGGCGGAAGCCUGAUCCAGCCAUGCCGCGUGUGUGAAGAAGGCCUUUUGGUUGUAAAGCACUUUAAGCGAGGAGGAGGCUACCUGGAUUAAUACUCUAGGAUAGUGGACGUUACUCGCAGAAUAAGCACCGGCUAACUCUGUGCCAGCAGCCGCGGUAAUACAGAGGGUGCGAGCGUUAAUCGGAUUUACUGGGCGUAAAGCGUGCGUAGGCGGCUGAUUAAGUCGGAUGUGAAAUCCCUGAGCUUAACUUAGGAAUUGCAUUCGAUACUGGUCAGCUAGAGUAUGGGAGAGGAUGGUAGAAUUCCAGGUGUAGCGGUGAAAUGCGUAGAGAUCUGGAGGAAUACCGAUGGCGAAGGCAGCCAUCUGGCCUAAUACUGACGCUGAGGUACGAAAGCAUGGGGAGCAAACAGGAUUAGAUACCCUGGUAGUCCAUGCCGUAAACGGUGUCUACUAGCCGUUGGGGCCUUUGAGGCUUUAGUGGCGCAGCUAACGCGAUAAGUAGACCGCCUGGGGAGUACGGUCGCAAGACUAAAACUCAAAUGAAUUGACGGGGGCCCGCACAAGCGGUGGAGCAUGUGGUUUAAUUCGAUGCAACGCGAAGAACCUUACCUGGCCUUGACAUAGUAGAAACUUUCCAGAGAUGGAUUGGUGC